GUAUCUUAUCUUAUUUUAUUAAGAGGGUGAAACAAUGUACUAAAAGAACUAUGUACGUAAUUACACAAUACAACCAUUCUGGCAAGAAUGCUACAAAGGGAUCUAAAUUGACUGGUUCGGUUGAGGAAAAAUUGUUUUUGGUUAAAUGUUUCGGUACCAUCGUCUGUGGUGUAGCGAUUAGGUGUCUAAACGUGGGUUACCUAAGUUCGAUUCCCAGGUGGGUAAAACAUUUUUUUCGAGUACAUCGGUCUUUCUCGUGGGACUCUUAUGUCACUCUCACAAGGGGUUGGUCCUGAUAAACAGGAUCAAAGCCUGCCUCGUAUUAUCUAUUUCAUGUUUAUGGGGGUGUUAGACGCUACAUUAUUUUUUUUUAAAUUUGUUUCGGUAGCUUCUUGGUUACGGCGUACACCCACAUAUAAGUUGUUUGAUUUUGUGUCAUUUGGCUAUCCUUAUUAUCAAGGUCAAUCUAAGUACACUUUUAAAUAAAGUGACAUUUGAUGUCACUUUUCACUUUCGAGAUUCGCAAGCAACGCCCAUAUAUUUUGUUGACUUAUUUUUUUAAUGCCUUCAUAAAUUUGUAAGUCUGAAACCUUAUUUACAGCAUGAAAAGAGUUUUCAAUAGAUACAGCGUUUUAAUAUAGAGUGCUCUGAGGGCUAAGGCUUUGCAAGAAAGUUGACAGCAAACAGGGAUUACAUCACAUUCAACACUCUUUUGUUUAUAAAGAGACGUUACAGCUUUUUAUCGUCUGUCCGACAUUUAAAAAAACAUGGGAAUCAAGAGUGGAACAAAUCCAGGAUCUCUUGAUUACAAGGCGCGUAUCGUAAACACUGGGCUAGCCUAGCUGCGAAAUCGUGCAGAAUUCCCCUUGCAGUUCAGAGGGCACGCAAACUAAAGAAAGACGGUCGUGUUUAGCCAGUUUUCGACAGCGGUUAAACCAACCUAGCUCUCCCCCCACACAUACACGCGCCACUGUUCCGUGAAAGACUUGCGGGAAAUUAUUCUUCGGAAAAGCGAUCCGGCCAUCGAUGGAGAAACUGAUUGGGUUUUUUUAACGCGAGCGAAGCUGGUUUCUGUAUGCCGAAACCGAAACAAUCUGUUACACCGUAUAGUGUCGGAGUAUAAAUGCUGCGGCCUGUCUGCAGCUAUCCAGUGUAAAGUUCACAACUGGUUGUGUUCAAGUCGUCCGUCAGACCAGGUCGGCGUAUUUAACUCACAUGUGAAGUUUCUGUGCAACUGAAACCUCAAAAAUGGCAAGAAAGACAGUACUGUCGACCCAGGACGUUGCAACCACUUUCUGUCGAUCGCCCCCAAAUGAAACUGAACCAGAGUACAGGUCAAGACUCGGCAGAGAAACAGAUACAAAGUUGAGAAAGAAAAAUGGGACUUAUCACCGACCACAAAGGCCGACAGUCAGCACUGCAGGCAUGGUGCAUUCAUGGAAUCCCACUGGGACACGAAGGAGAGGAUGUCCCUACAGUUCAAUAUGGAGGAAGAGGGUGUAGAUGAAAUGUGGACCCAGCUCGAAAGUAGUGCCGUGCAAUUAGUGAGGCAACGAAAGUUUAUCGACGCUUCGAAGCUGAAGUCACUAUUCGUGUUAUUGGAACACCAGUUUUGUAUCACGAUAAUUUGAUACGAGUGUGUGCUUUGCAUAGUUAUAACUCAAGUCAGAUGUCAAUACAUGGCGUUUGUAUGCACUGUACACAGUUACGGCUCAAUUUAUGUCAGUAAUUACUGAUGUUCGUAUGUGCUAUGCACAGAAAGGUAUUUUAUGUCACGAUGAUGUCAUGUGUGUAUGUGCUAAGCACAUCUAAGAAUGAGUUUAUAAACCUAAA